rnacentral:rRNA from 1 species
UUCGCCCUUUGCCAGCAGCCGCGGUAAGACGAGGGAUCCUAGCGUUGUUCGGAAUUAUUGGGCGUAAAGCGGAUGUAGGUGGCUUUGUAAGUCAGAUGUGAAAGCCCAGGGCUCAACCCUGGAAGUGCAUUUGAUACUGCGAAGCUUGAGUGUCGGAGAGGUUACUAGAAUUGUUGGUGUAGUGGUGAAAUACGUAGAUAUCAACAGGAAUACCGGAGRCGAAGGCGGGUAACUGGCGCGAACACURACACUUGAGAUCCGAAAGCGUGGGGAUCAAACAGGAUUAGAUACCCUGGUAGUCC